CCUACGGGAGGCAGCAGUGAGGAAUAUUGGUCAAUGGACGCAAGUCUGAACCAGCCAUGCCGCGUGCAGGAAGAAGGCUCUAUGAGUGGUAAACUGCUUUUGUACGAGGGUAAACGCAGAUACGCGUAUCUGUCUGAAAGUAUCGUACGAAUAAGGAUCGGCUAACUCCGUGCCAGCAGCCGCGGUAAUACGGAGGAUUCAAGCGUUAUCCGGAUUUAUUGGGUUUAAAGGGUGCGUAGGCGGUCGGAUAAGUUAGAGGUGAAAUCCCGAGGCUCAACUUCGGAAUUGCCUCUGAUACUGGUCGGCUAGAGAGUAGUUGCGGUAGGCGGAAUGUAUGGUGUAGCGGUGAAAUGCUUAGAGAUCAUGCAGAACACCGAUUGCGAAGGCAGCUUACCAGGCUACUACUGACGUUGAGGCACGAAAGCGUGGGGAGCAAACAGGAUUAGAUACCCUGGUAGUC
rnacentral:rRNA from 1 species